rnacentral:rRNA from 1 species
CCCUUAGAUGUUCUGGGCAGCACGCGCGCUACAAUGGUCUUCGCAAACGGAUGCAUUCUCGAAGGAGAAUGCCAAUCUUGGAAUCUAUGCCUUGGCCGGGACAGUUGCUUGCAAUUUUUCGACUCGAACCAGGAAUUCCUUGUAAUCGUGAUUCAUCACAUCACGAUGAAUACGUCCCUGCCCUUUGUACACACCGCCCGUCGCUCCUACCGAUCGAAGAGUUAGGUGAAUUGUUUUGAUCGAUAAGAUUUGACUAUGGUCAACUCUCGUUGUGAAAUUCUGUGAAUCUGACUGUUUAGAGGAAGGAAAAGUCGUAACA